GGAGUCCUGCUUGACACAUGGGGAAGUGCACUAAUGAGCUUUUCUAAGGACUUGCUUGCCACUCUGCAGCUGGAGCUAUAUUUGCUCUGUUCCUGAUAAAGGCUCUUAUCAGAGCAGAUCAACCUACUUGCUGUGGGGAAGUGCCCGUUCAGGUUACAGCCCCAUUACUGGCAGUCAUCUGUGUGCCCCAAGGCAAGCAUGGGACGGGCCCUGGGGGCAGUGUCAGCCACACUCCUCCCCGGCACCUGCAGCUAUAAAUCUUGUGGUUCAAAGCAUAUCUACAGACACGUUCUGGGCUUCUGAGUGUCCCUGUGGAGGCAGCAUGGCUUCCCGGCGUGCUCCCCUCAUGCUGCUUGCCUGUGUGGUGGCCCUGCCUGCCCUGUGUCUUGUCGACGCUGCCCAAGACCUGACCCUCCUCAAUCGAUCUGCCUCGAAUAGCAGUGCAUCUGCUCUCAGCAUGCCGACUGACGGUAGGUACACGAAAGGCCUCCAUCUCUGCAGGCAGAACCCUGCUAGGACCCUGUGCAUGAGUGCCCUGCCCACCCUCUGUGUCUGGUUCGGAUGGGGGAGCAUUGGUCCUGCAGGGCGGUGGGAGUUGGGCUGGCUCAGCAAGCAGCUCAGGAAUCCUCUGCUGGUCCCAGUGGUAUGGAAUAAGGUAAAUCAGGUCCAGAGACAGCACAAACUGCCAACAGUGGUAGAGGAGGAUGACUGAUACCCAUUUGGCUGAGGGCACACAUGGCAAUGCCAUGCCCAAUCUCUAGCACAGCAAAAAUGUUUGGAAAUGGGGACUUUAGAAGACAGAGGUGCCUUCUCCAGACAGGAGAUGUUUAGGCCCUACAUCUAACUGCUUGAUCUCUGCUUCUGGAGACAGAAAGCAUCUCCUGAUCUGAGUUCCAGCUUUGCUGCAUCUCCCCUGCCAUUUCCAACUCUUCUCCCUGCUGUUGGUUUCCACGCUCCAGGUGAGCUCCGGCUGGUGAACGGCUCCAACGCCUGCUCCGGACGGGUGGAGGUCUGGUACGGCAAUGAGUGGGGAACAGUCUGUGAUGACAGCUGGGACCUGAAAGAUGCCUCUGUGGUCUGUAGGCAGCUUGGCUGUGGGGAAGCAGUGUUAGCCCCAUCUCAAGCUUUUUUUGGAAGUGGAUCUGGACCUAUUUGGCUGGAUGAUGUUAACUGUGUUGGGAACGAGAGCUUCCUCACUCAGUGCACGCUGAAGGCCUGGGGACAACACAACUGCAGGCACAGCGAGGAUGCAGGCGUUGUAUGCUCAGGUACAUGACUGCACUGUGCCCUUUUAAUAUCCAGCUGCAGGUGUGCUAUGGGAUGUGCCUCUGUCUUCUUGGACAGGAUCUUGUUAAACCCUGCUCCCUCCCGCCACACUGGCCAGCACGGGGCAGGUCCAGUGCUGUGUGCUCCUGUGCUUCUCUGGGCAGAGAGGGGCCUUACAGCACCUCUCAC
rnacentral:lncRNA from 1 species